rnacentral:rRNA from 1 species
UACGGAGGAUGCGAGCGUUAUCCGGAUUUAUUGGGUUUAAAGGGUGCGUAGGCGGGAUGCCAAGUCAGCGGUAAAAAUGCGGUGCUCAACGCCGUCGAGCCGUUGAAACUGGCGUUCUUGAGUGGGCGAGAAGUAUGCGGAAUGCGUGGUGUGGCGGUGAAAUGCAUAGAUAUCACGCAGAACUCCGAUUGCGAAGGCAGCAUACCGGCGCCCUACUGACGCUGAGGCACGAAAGCGUGGGUAUCGAACAGG